rnacentral:lncRNA from 10 species
AUGUUUCAACAUAUCUCAUAAUUAAGUAUGAUUUUCCACCAUUCCCAUUGUCUUUCCAGAGCUUCUCCGCCUAAAUUAUACUUCUCUGCAACACAACACACAGUACUUCCCUUAUCAGAGCAUUUCUCAUGCUGUAUUGUAAUUGCUUGUCUGUCUGUCCUCCGUACCAUACUUCAAGUUCUGUGAUGCCAAGGUCUGUGUCAGUCUUGCAAGUAUGUCAGGCUGCAUCCCAAGGUAAAUGGAGAGUGAUUAAGUGCUGUAAGGGUAGGGUGACAUCAUCAGAUUUAUGUUAGGAAGUCAUCCCAGCUGGAGAGUGGAUUAGAAGGGAUGACGGGAUAAAAACUGGGCAUGACAAAUGAGGAUGGCUUGGUCAAAGGUGUGAUGGUAGAGAUGCAAUUAUCAUCAGAGCAGUGAGGCAGGGGAAAGAAGUGUCUAGUUGGGCUCAUAUUUUUAAAUAACUUUGGACAGAACCAACCAAGCCACAGAAGUGCAUGUCAAAUGUUUUAUUCCACAUCAACCAUUACUUUUCAUCCUCAAGCCUUUGCUGAAGGCUAUGGAACCCAGCUUUGGCUGGGUCUGAGUGCAGAGACCUAAGAGGAUCUGGUUUGAAACCUCUUUCCCUGUGAGAAGAGAGUCAGUGACCAAAUGUAGAGACAGCAGUGAAUUAUUGAUGGACCUACAUGUUUUACACAUACAGAUGCUGCUAAAGACAGUUUUCCCCUAAAAUCAGCAGUUAGCAAAUGUUUUAAUUAGAUCAAGGCAUUCCUACCUUGUAGGUUGUUCCAGAAUCUUGGGGUGAGAACAUUUGUAAUUUGCAAAAGUAAUAUUUUAUCUGUGGAAGGCAAGCACAUGGAAGAAAAAUCUAUUGUCUUGUACUAUAAACUAAAGAAAAUAAACAAAAUCAUCCUGGCUGUGGGAUGUACAAAUGUUCAGUGUUAUAUGUGUGUCAGUCACUGAUAGAGGGCUGGGGAAAAAACUAAAGUCUGCCACAGGGACUGAGUGGCAGAGAUAUUUAUGCUUAUCAGAGGUGGCGGGCAGGCAUCAAGAAAUUUUGAGAAAGUGAAUUAAAGUCUUAUAAAUACUUUAGUCAUAAAGGCCAAUGAUGAUUGUAUUAUACUUUCUGCAUUUGUUAAAAUACAACAUAAUCAUAUUUGGCAUCUAAUCACUCCAGAUUUUGUGGUAGCCACUGGGAUCCACCAACC